AGGGCAAGUCUGGUGCCAGCAGCCGCGGUAAUUCCAGCUCCAAUAGCGUAUAUUAAAGUUGUUGCAGUUAAAAAGCUCGUAGUUGAAUUUCGGGAUCAAUCUAUCGGUCGUGCAAUAGUACGUACUGAUUUUAUUGAUUCCUCCCUUCUGAUGAACUAUGAUGUCAUUAAUUUGGUGUCAUAGGGAAUCAGGACUGUUACUUUGAAAAAAUUAGAGUGUUUAAAGCAGGCUCACGCUUGAAUACAUUAGCAUGGAGUAACGAAAUAGGACGUUUGAUUCUAUUUUGUUGGUUUCUAGGAUCGACGUAAUGAUUAAUAGGGAUAGUUGGGGGCAUUAGUAUUCAAUUGUCAGAGGUGAAAUUCUUGGAUUUAUUGAAGACUAACUACUGCGAAAGCAUUUGCCAAGGAUGUUUUCAUUAAUCAAGAACGAAAGUUAGGGGAUCGAAGACGAUCAGAUACCGUCGUAGUCUUAACCAUAAACUAUGCCGACUAGGGAUCGGAUGAUGUUAAUUUUUUAAUGACUCAUUCGGCGCCUUACGGGAA
rnacentral:rRNA from 1 species